UAAGUAUCCGAGGAUCAUGUCAUCAUGCAUUUUAAUCAUUAACUGUUUUUGCUAAUAUGGAAAUUGAUGGUAAUUUUGAGAAAGGGUUAUACUUAGAUUUUGGAGAUAGGGUUCCUCUUAAAUUUGACUUCACAUGAUUGCUGCGUGCAUGAGAGAAGUGGAGAAUUUGCUGUGGAUUUGAGAAUCUUAAAUUUGAAUGUUUUUGAUAUGAUGGGUCUCAUCUUGAUUCCUGUCA
rnacentral:misc_RNA from 1 species